UACAGAGGGUGCAAGCGUUUGUUCGGAAUUAUUGGGCGUAAAGCGCGUGUAGGCGGCGUGACAAGUCGGGUGUGAAAGCCCUCAGCUCAACUGAGGAAGUGCGCCCGAAACUGGCGAGCUAGAGUACGAAAGAGGAUCGCGGAAUUCCCGGUGUAGAGGUGAAAUUCGUAGAUAUCGGGAGGAACACCGGUGGCGAAGGCGGGUCUCUGGGCCGUUACUGACGCUGAGGAGCGAAAGCGUGGGGAGCGAACAGG
rnacentral:rRNA from 1 species